rnacentral:rRNA from 1 species
UACGUAGGGGGCUAGCGUUGUCCGGAAUCAUUGGGCGUAAAGCGCGUGUAGGCGGCCCGGUAAGUCCGCUGUGAAAGUCGGGGGCUCAACCCUCGGAUGCCGGUGGAUACUGUCGGGCUCGAGUCCGGAAGAGGAGUGUGGAAUUCCUGGUGUAGCGGUGAAAUGCGCAGAUAUCAGGAGGAACACCAAUGGCGAAGGCAGCACUCUGGGACGUGACUGACGCUGAGACGCGAAAGCGUGGGGAGCAAACAGG